rnacentral:rRNA from 1 species
UACGUAGGGCGCAAGCGUUAUCCGGAAUUAUUGGGCGUAAAGAGCUCGUAGGCGGUUUGUCGCGUCUGCUGUGAAAACCCGAGGCUCAACCUCGGCCUGCAGUGGGUACGGGCAGACUAGAGUGCGGUAGGGGAGAUUGGAAUUCCUGGUGUAGCGGUGGAAUGCGCAGAUAUCAGGAGGAACACCAAUGGCGAAGGCAGAUCUCUGGGCCGUAACUGACGCUGAGGAGCGAAAGCAUGGGGAGCGAACAGG